rnacentral:rRNA from 1 species
AGGACGAACGCUGGCGGCGUGCCUAACACAUGCAAGUCGAACGGAGUCCAAGCGGUGGCAACACUGCUGAAGACUUAGUGGCGAACGGGUGAGUAUCACGUGAGCAACCUGCCCCGAAGACUGGGAUAACACCGGGAAACCGGUGCUAAUACCGGAUAUCCCCACCGGAUCGCAUGGUCUGGUGAGGAAAUGAAUUUCGCUUUGGGAGGGACUCGCGGCCUAUCAGCUAGUUGGUGAGGUAACGGCCCACCAAGGCGACGACGGGUA